GAAGUUAUGCCUGAACAAAAGGACCACUUUGAUAGAGUGAAUCAUGAAGGUUAAAGUCCUUCUAACUUCU
rnacentral:tRNA from 1 species